rnacentral:rRNA from 1 species
GAGUUUGAUCCUGGCUCAGAACGAACGCUGGCGGCAUGCCUAACACAUGCAAGUCGAACGAGACCUUCGGGUCUAGUGGCGCACGGGUGCGUAACGCGUGGGAAUCUGCCUUUAGGUUCGGAAUAACUCGGGGAAACCCGUGCUAAUACCGGAUAAUGACUUCGGUCCAAAGAUUUAUCGCCUAAAGAUGAGCCCGCGUCGGAUUAGCUAGUUGGUGAGGUAAAAGCUCACCAAGGCGACGAUCCGUAGCUGGUCUGAGAGGAUGAUCAGCCACACUGGGACUGAGACACGGCCCAGACUCCUACGGGAGGCAGCAGUGGGGAAUAUUGGACAAUGGGCGAAAGCCUGAUCCAGCAAUGCCGCGUGAGUGAUGAAGGCCUUAGGGUUGUAAAGCUCUUUUACCCGGGAUGAUAAUGACAGUACCGGGAGAAUAA